CGGGCUAUAGCUCAGUAGGUAGAGCGCCUGGUUUGGGACCAGGAGGUCGCGAGUUCGAGCCCCGCUGGCCCGA
rnacentral:tRNA from 1 species